AUUGAACGCUGGCGGCAUGCUUUACACAUGCAAGUCGAACGGCAGCGCGGGCUUCGGCCUGGCGGCGAGUGGCGAACGGGUGAGUAAUACAUCGGAACGUACCCAGUAGUGGGGGAUAGCUCGGCGAAAGCCGGAUUAAUACCGCAUACGACCUGAGGGUGAAAGCGGGGGAUCUUCGGACCUCGCGCUAUUGGGGCGGCCGAUGGCAGAUUAGCUAGUUGGUGGGGUAAAGGCCUACCAAGGCGACGAUCUGUAGCUGGUCUGAGAGGACGACCAGCCACACUGGGACUGAGACACGGCCCAGACUCCUACGGGAGGCAGCAGUGGGGAAUUUUGGACAAUGGGCGAAAGCCUGAUCCAGCAAUGCCGCGUGUGUGAUGAAGGCCUUCGGGUUGUAAAGCACUUUUGGCGGGAACGAAAAGGACUGUGCCAAUACCACGGUUCGAUGACGGUACCCGCAGAAUAAGCACCGGCUAACUACGUG
rnacentral:rRNA from 1 species